UUCUUUGAAACUGCCCAUGAUUCAUCUGUAAGUUUGUCCCACUAGACUCCCCAAUUUCAAAACUUCUAUGAUCAAAGGUUCUCAAAACAGAUUAGGUUUAGGGUUAGACUUAGUUUUAGGACUAGGUUUAGACCUGGUGUUAUGGUUAGAGUUAUUUUUUUAAAAUUUCUAUGAUACUGGAAAGGAUUCACUUUUUUCCUGAUUUUACUAUACACCAAA
rnacentral:lncRNA from 1 species